UAGCUCAGUCAGUAGAGCAUGAGACUCUUAAUCUGAGAGUCGUGGGUUCGAGCCCCAC
rnacentral:tRNA from 1 species